rnacentral:rRNA from 1 species
GCGAAUGCUGACAUAAGUAACGAUAAAGCGGGUGAAAAGCCCGCUCGCCGGAAGACCAAGGGUUCCUGUCCAACGUUAAUCGGGGCAGGGUGAGUCGACCUCUAAGGCGAGGCCGAAAGGCGUAGUCGAUGGGAAACAGGUUAAUAUUCCUGUACUUGGUGUUACUGCGAAGGGGGGACGGAGAAGGCUAUGUUGGCCGGGCGACGGUUGUCCCGGUUUAAGCGUGUAGGCUGGUUUUCCAGGCAAAUCCGGAAAAUCAAGGCUGAGGCGUGAUGACGAGGCACUACGGUGCUGAAGCAACAAAUGCCCUGCUUCCAGGAAAAGCCUCUAAGCAUCAGGUAACAUCAAAUCGUACCCCAAACCGACACAGGUGGUCAGGUAGAGAAUACCAAGGCGCUUGAGAGAACUCGGGUGAAGGAACUAGGCAAAAUGGUGCCGUAACUUCGGGAGAAGGCACGCUGAUAUGUAGGUGAAGUCCCUCGCGGAUGGAGCUGAAAUCAGUCGAAGAUACCAGCUGGCUGCAACUGUUUAUUAAAAACACAGCACUGUGCA